GCCGAGGCAGCGGGGCGGCUGAAGGGCGAGAGCUGGAGCGCGGAGCCCCAGCGAACAGAGGAUCAGCCGCCCACAGGGUGCGGGACGACGCCGUAUAGAGGAGGAGCAGGCUGCGAGCAGCGCAGUGGAGCUCCCAGGAGCGAGACAGCGAGGGGAGAAGUCAGUCCCGUGAGUGGGGCAGCAGUCAGCAGGGAACCCGACGCCCGGGGCAGCAGGAGGCGCGACAGCUGCGCCGAGACUGGGGCCAGCUGUACCCUGCACUACGGAGCCGACGGCGUGGGUAACGGUGGCAGGGACUAUUGGGGAAGCAGAGAGGACAUCUGCACCCCAAGGAAGGAGGGACCAGGUCAGCAUCCCCACUGGGAGAGACAUACCCGGUCCGAAGACCGCUGGUAGUGGCUAGGGGGACCGAGCCAAGAGAGGACGAGACGAGGAUGGGUUAGAGGCCAGGAUAGGAAGACCUGAGGUGGCGUAUGGCCGGGGUGUAGGGGAGGACAGAGCCCUGAGAGUACCCGCGGAGAAGAGUGCUGGCACCAGGGGAUACCCCAAGGGAAGACCCCCCACUGGAAGAGUCAUCAAAGUCGUGGUAGAAAGCCUCUGAGAAGUUUACCAUCUAUGGACAAGUUAUCUAGUUAUAACAGACUGUCUCCAUGGUCCAGAUUCAGCCCAGGGCACAGGUUGAGUUUGACACCCCUGCUCUAAAGCAUCCCCUCCCGACACACUCAAAGAUGGGAUCUGGGCUGGAUGGACCAUUGCUCUGACCCAGCAUGACACUGCUGAUGUUCUUAUGAUGGGGAAGUGUCAGACCACUAACACAGAACAAAGUUGUGGUAGUGUUGGAGUGAUGUUGUAGUCAUGAUAGUCAAGGGUUUUUUUAAUAACAUUCCAAUUAAGGUUUAGUUUUAUCCUUAUAUUUCUGAUAUAUAUAUUCCUAAUAUAAAUAAAGAUUUCUGUCUAGAGAUAA